rnacentral:rRNA from 1 species
UUCCCCUAGUAACUGCGAGUGAAGCGGGAAAAGCUCAAAUUUAAAUCUGGCGGCUUGAGUCGUCCGAGUUGUAACCUGGAGAGGCAUUUUCCGCGUUGGACCGUGUACAAGUCUCCUGGAAUGGAGCGUCAUAGAGGGUGAGAAUCCCGUCCAUGACACGGACUGCCAAUGCUUUUGUGAUAUGCCUUCGAAGAGUCGCGUUGUUUGGGAAUGCAGCGCAAAAUGGGUGGUAAAUUCCAUCUAAAGCUAAAUAUUGGCGAGAGACCGAUAGCGAACAAGUACCGUGAGGGAAAGAUGAAAAGCACUUUGGAAAGAGAGUUAAACAGUACGUGAAAUUGUUGAAAGGGAAACGCUUGAAGUCAGUCGCGUUCCGUGGAACUCAGCCUUACUUCGGUUUGGUGUACUUUCCAUUUGAACGGGUCAGCAUCAAUUUUGGCUGGUGGACAAAGGCAAGGGGAAUGUAGCGUUGCUUCGGUGACGUGUUAUAGCCCCUUGUUGUAUACGCCGGCUGGGAUUGAGGACCGCAGCACGCCCUUGUGGCCGGGGGGUUCGCCCUACGUACCGUGCUUAGGAUGUUGGCAUAAUGGCUUUAAGCGACCCGUCUUGAAACACGGACCAAGGAGUCUAACAUGCUUGCGAGUGUUCGGGUGGAAAACCCUUGCGCGUAAUGAAAGUGAAAGUUGGGAACCUUCUCGCAAGAGAGGGUGCACUGACGCCCGGCCCUGACGUUCUCUGACGGUGCUGCGGUAGAGCAAGUACGUUGGGACCCGAAAGAUGGUGAACUAUGCCUGAAUAGGGUGAAGCCAGAGGAAACUCUGGUGGAGGCUCGUAGCGAUUCUGACGUGCAAAUCGAUCGUCAAAUUUGGG